UGUUACUGUUGGUAAAGAAAUCAAGCAAAGCCCCCCCCCAGUCAGGUGUUAACUCCUGCUAUAAAUGAGUAAACAUGUGAGUAAGAGGCUUCCAGUUCACUGCACCCAAGCCUGCAUGAAAUCACGUUUGAGCUUCUGUAUCAGCAUCAGCAAUGUAAUCAUUUGCUUUGGCUCUGAGGCUUAUCCUUCUUAGUAUUAUAAAGAGCUAGUGAGUUACAUGUAUUCGUUCACAGAUUAUUUCGAACUGCUUACCUAUUGUUUCUGGAUAUCUGAGGAAACUGGAGAAUAAUGAUACAGGAGGACCAUUCCUGUUUGGGUGCUUCAGUUUUUCUGCUAAGAAAAGGCAAAGCUGAUGGUGACAUGCAGAAUCAAACUCUAUGGCCCGGUUAGGCUAUAAAGCAGAAUUCUUGGAAUUCAUCUACAUAUUCAUUAUCCUUCCGGAAAAUCAUUUACAUACUGCCCCUCCCAACAGCACACACGUUGUCCGUAGUAGGAGUCUCCCUGUGGUGGUCGUGGGGAUGAAGUCAGAAGUCCUCCUUGCGAAGGCUCGACGUCUUCCUCUGUCUGACCUUCUUACAGUGUAUUCAAACUGUUCAAAGCCAUUCAUUUUGUAUUGUUCCUUUCUUUAUGUUUGCAGAGCUGACCAUGAAAUGUUGAGAUGUCGUUCUCCUUCCCUAGUUUCUAAAGCUAGCUUAUUUAACCCCUAUAUGUUCAAACCCUAGACCUACCUGAGCUCCUGAUCUCAAUGGUUCACACUGAAAAUAAUUGUUAUUCUUUUUUUCUUAUUUCUAAUCCUAUUCACCUAUCAUCACUUAUUUACAGCAACAGAUGUAUAUCUAUUGCUUGGGAGAGACUAGAGGAUCCUUAGUGCUCUAUCUUCUUUGUCUUUCUUGGUUGCAAGAAUCUCUCCAUUUAAAUCUUACUUGCACUCCGCUUUAUUAAAUGGAAUUCUGAACCAGAUCUGAUUGGUGAAACUAAACUCUCAGUGUCUUGUCUGUGAAGAGCUUUUGUACCAAAUAAAUGCUGCAGAAGGAAGGUAUCAGGUAUCUCCGGAAGGUAACCUCAUCAAUCUUUAAUGUCAUUGCAUCUUUCAGUGAGGUGAUAAGAGAAGUGUGGGGAGAAAAAUGGCCACGGAGAUACAUGAUAGAGCCAUGUAAUAUUACGUGUCUUUAAUUAGCUAUUGCCAUGUACAGUCCUGAUGAAUUAGAUAGCCAGACAAAUUUAUUAACAGCUCCUGUGAGCAGCAUGCUGUAUUCUGUAGUAGAGGCUUUCUCCUUUUGGGAGCCCCCUGCCCAGAAACAGACUUUGUGAACUUAGAUUAUUUUCAUCUGUAGGCUACAAAACAGUCAUCUGGGCUUUCCCAGCCCUUAAUUGUUACAUGCCGUAUCCUUGGUGCAAAUCUGGCGGUUUACUGUAGCACUUUUCUGUUGCAGUGCCAAGUGAAGCAAAUUUUCAUAAACAUUCACAGUCGGUUUUGUGAAAGAACAUUUGUUUUGCCUCCCAGCCCUCUGGUAGUAUUUAUUACUGUCAACUGUUACAUUUCACCUGGGAACUGGCCCUUUCAAACUUAGGGCUAGCACAACGUCAGACUUUUCCAACAAAGAGGGAAGCAGUGCCAUGCACUUAAAGCAUGUUAGAAAAAGUAUUUGACCCUAAGUAUUUGAAAAAAAAAUAAUCACAACAUUUUUACUACAUAAAGGAAAACGAAUGUCACAAACUAUAUAUUGCUGUACAAUCAGAUACUGUAUCUGAAC
ensembl:lncRNA